CAUGUCACCUGGCCGCUAGCUAGGGUUUGGUCUUUACGGCCGCCGCCGCUUCUGCAGACGUCCCGUGCCCUUUGCUGUUUCAGCGUUCUUUCUUGUAGUUUCAUGAAGCAUCUUGGUUGGUUUGUUUCUUGAGUGUCUCUUCCUUUUCUCCCCUUUGCUCCUCUUUGUGCAGUUUUGUUCAGAGAGACGAUGUUUUCCUCUUUUUUGUCGUCCUUAAGAAUUUAUUUCUCUCUUCUGUUGCGAGCUCUGAUGAGGACUGUGAUGAAAAACACAAUCAAAACACACCAUCUUUCGGGACUGAUUGGCUCGAUACGAGCCAUGCUGCCAACUCUGCAAUUCUGACGUCCCCAUUCCAGCCCGCAGAUUUUCUUUUGCAUUUCCACGCUUUUAUUCAUGCGUCUGUAUGCUGCAUCGUAAAAAAAUUGAUCUGAAAUACUUUGACAGUGGCCUGUGACGAAACUCAGCAAUCAAAAACACCAUCUUUCGGGGCUGAUUGGCGCGAGCCAUGCUGUCACACUGCAAAGAAUUCUGAGGCCAAACAGAGUAUAACCACUUUUGAGUCUGAUACCGCAUUGGCCAUAUUUUUUUUUUCAGGAAAAUGGUAACAGCAAAUCAGACCAGAAAGACUUCUUGGUUCUUAGGCGUUUCAAAAUAUUGUAGCCUAGUAUUUUCAUGGAUGUAAUGUGCUGCAGAAUUUGAGAUGGAAUUGGAUACCUGCAGAUUAUGAUUACUUACACUGCUUGUGGGUACAAGUCCUAUGGAUCGCCCUUGCCGGUGAUGACGCGGAAGUGCAGCAGGAUGCUGCUGCUAGGCUCAAUGAAGCUGAAGCCCGAUGUCCACUUGGCAGUCGCAGAGUGGGUGAAAUAUUGAUCUACGACCCAUGUAGGCCUCGGCAUGGCUGUAAAAAUGACUUCGGCUCUUGUCCUCUUGAGCUAGUGUUAUCUUAACAUAUUGUUUGGCAAAACGACUCAUUGAUGUGGAGGGAGCCCUCCCAAAUAGACCCGUAAUAACCAGAUACAUACACUGCUUGAAUCUACUUUGAGAGUAGAACAAAGAAUGAAAUACUCAACCGCAUGCC